UAUAAGGCGUUAACGAUAGAAACGGCAUCCUUUUUUUGCUGUUGCCACAAUGCAAGUUGCAAAAAAAGAUAUAGUGGAUAGCGUGUAUAAAC
rnacentral:sRNA from 1 species